GAUAGUUGUGGUUUUCUUCUGCUUUGUUCUCUGCAGCUCUUUUUCACCCGUCUUGACUGCAGCUACUUACUGUCGUCUAUAUUGAAGGCAAGGCUUUUGGCCGACAUACCGAGACCAGAGAGCUCACAAUCUCACCAGAAUGAAACGCCAUUCAGCUGCAUAUUACAGCUCAAAAUAUAACUCAAAUUACAUGAAAAGGUGUGAAAUUACAGUUUAAACACAGGAAGUGUUCUGGUUAUGAGCACACAGGGCAGCAGCUAUUUUUAUUAAUGUCAGUAUGGAGUCCGGUGCACUGCUUCUAAUCCUCUUGCUGAUGUUCCUCAUCCAAGCUGGACUCACUAAAGAUUCACCCAUAUUUACUCUGACUGUGACUCCAGACAGUCCUGUAUUCACUGGAGAGAGAGUGAGACUGAAGUGUGUGAUUGAGUCUUACAGAGACUGGAG